UGUCUUUGAGUUGGGCAAUUGUCGUC
rnacentral:sRNA from 1 species